rnacentral:rRNA from 1 species
GACGAACGCUGGCGGCGUGCUUAACGCAUGCAAGUCGAACGAAGAGCGAUGGAAGCUUGCUUCUAUCAAUCUUAGUGGCGAACGGGUGAGUAACGCGUAAUCAACCUGCCCUUCAGAGGGGGACAACAGUUGGAAACGACUGCUAAUACCGCAUACGAUCUAAUCUCGGCAUCGAGGAUAGAUGAAAGGUGGCCUCUACAUGUAAGCUAUCACUGAAGGAGGGGAUUGCGUCUGAUUAGCUAGUUGGAGGGGUAACGGCCCACCAAGGCGAUGAUCAGUAGCCGGUCUGAGAGGAUGAACGGCCACAUUGGGACUGAGACACGGCCCAGACUCCUACGGGAGGCAGCAGUGGGGAAUCUUCCGCAAUGGACGAAAGUCUGACGGAGCAACGCCGCGUGAGUGAUGACGGCCUUCGGGUUGUAAAGCUCUGUUAAUCGGGACGAAAGGCCUUCUUGCGAAUAGUGAGAAGGAUUGACGGUACCGGAAUAGAAAGCCACGGCUAACUACGUG